rnacentral:rRNA from 1 species
CCCCAGACUCCUACGGGAGGCAGCAGUGGGGGAUAUUGGACAAUGGGGGAAACCCUGAUCCAGCGAUGCCGCGUGAGGGAAGAAGGUUUUCGGAUUGUAAACCUCUGUGGACAGGGACGAUAAUGACGGUACCUGUCAAGAAAGCCACGGCUAACUACGUGCCAGCAGCCGCGGUAAUACGUAGGUGGCGAGCGUUGUCCGGAAUUACUGGGUGUAAAGGGAGUGUAGGCGGGAAGGCAAGUCAGAAGUGAAGAUUAUGGGCUCAACCCAUAACCUGCUUUUGAAACUGUUUUUCUUGAGUACUGGAGAGGCAGACGGAAUUCCUAGUGUAGCGGUGAAAUGCGUAGAUAUUAGGAGGAACACCAGUGGCGAAGGCGGUCUGCUGGACAGCAACUGACGCUGAGGCGCGAAAGCGUGGGGAGCAAACAGGAUUAGAUACCCUGGUA